GUGUCAGCAGCCGCGGUAAUACGUAGGUCCCGAACGUUGCGCGAAUUUACUGGGCGUAAAGGGUCCGUAGGCGGUCUGGUAAGUGGAAGGUGAAAUCCUGGGGCUCAACUCCAGAAUUGCCUUCCAAACUGCCGGACUUGAGGCAGGGAGAGGUCGGCGGAAUUCCCGGUGUAGCGGUGAAAUGCGUAGAUAUCGGGCGGAACGCCGGUGGGGAAGCCGGGUCCCUGGGGCGCACCUGACGCUGAGGCCCGAAAGCCAGGGGAGCGAAGGGGAUUAGAUACCCCCGUAGUCCUGGCCGUAAACGAUGCCCACUAGGUGUGGGGGAGACUUGUCUCCUCCGUGCCGAAGGGAAACCGAUAAGUGGGCCGCCUGGGGAGUACGCCCGCAAGGGUGAAACUCAAAGGAAUUGGCGGGG
rnacentral:rRNA from 1 species